ACGAACGCUGGCGGCGUGCUUAACACAUGCAAGUCGAACGGAAAGGCCCUGCUUUUGUGGGGUGCUCGAGUGGCGAACGGGUGAGUAACACGUGAGUAACCUGCCCUUGACUUUGGGAUAACUUCAGGAAACUGGGGCUAAUACCGGAUAGGAGCUCCUGCUGCAUGGUGGGGGUUGGAAAGUUUCGGCGGUUGGGAUGGACUCGCGGCUUAUCAGCUUGUUGGUGGGGUAGUGGCUUACCAAGGCUUUGACGGGUAGCCGGCCUGAGAGGGUGACCGGCCACAUUGGGACUGAGAUACGGCCCAGACUCCUACGGGAGGCAGCAGUGGGGAAUAUUGCACAAUGGGCGGAAGCCUGAUGCAGCAACGCCGCGUGCGGGAUGACGGCCUUCGGGUUGUAAACCGCUUUCGCCUGUGACGAAGCGUGAGUGACGGUAAUGGGUAAAGAAGCACCGGCUAACUACGUG
rnacentral:rRNA from 1 species